AACGAACGCUGGCGGCAUGCCUAACACAUGCAAGUCGAACGAGACCUUCGGGUCUAGUGGCGCACGGGUGCGUAACGCGUGGGAACCUGCCCUUAGGUUCGGAAUAACUCCCCGAAAGGGGUGCUAAUACCGGAUAAUGUCUUCGGACCAAAGAUUUAUCGCCUUUGGAUGGGCCCGCGUUGGAUUAGCUAGUUGGUAGGGUAAAAGCCUGCCAAGGCGACGAUCCAUAGCUGGUCUGAGAGGAUGAUCAGCCACACUGGGACUGAGACACGGCCCAGACUCUUACGGGAUGGAGCAAUGGCGAAUAUAGGACCACGGGCGAAAUACUGAUCGUGCAAUGCCGCGUGAGUGAUGAAAGCAUUAAGGUAGUAAAGUGCAAGUACCCGGGAUAAUAAUGACAGUACCGGGAGAGUAAGCACCGGCUAACUCCGUG
rnacentral:rRNA from 1 species